rnacentral:rRNA from 1 species
UACGAAGGGUGCAAGCGUUACUCGGAAUUACUGGGCGUAAAGCGUGCGUAGGUGGUUUGUUAAGUCUGAUGUGAAAGCCCUGGGCUCAACCUGGGAAUUGCAUUGGAUACUGGCAGGCUAGAGUGCGGUAGAGGGUAGUGGAAUUCCCGGUGUAGCAGUGAAAUGCGUAGAGAUCGGGAGGAACACCAGUGGCGAAGGCGACUACCUGGACCAGCACUGACACUGAGGCGCGACAGCGUGGGGAGCA